AAGCCGGCCGGAAGUGGCGCGAGAGAGCCGUUUACAGCGGGCUUCUAGGGCUGCUUCCGCUCGCCACUUACGGCCGUUGCUGGGAAACUCCGGAAGUAAGAGCUGAAGACAGGCGGGAAGAUGCCGCGGGAGGCCUGGCGCGCGGGCGGGGCUAGCGAGGCUCAUGCGCAGAGGUUUUCUGGCGCAUGCGCAGAAUAGGCCCCGUCGCGCAAAGCCGCGGCAGGGCUGAAGCGGUUUUAGCCGAUACAUGGCGGUGAGGGGCCGUUCCCUUAUGUACACGUCGCAGUCCGACAGGCUGGCCGGUCGCUACCUCCGGGGAACGCGGGCACAGUGAGGAGCCUACGAGAUGGAGCCUCACUCUGUUGCCAGGCUGGAAUGCAGUGGCACGAUCCCGGCUCACAGCAACUCCCGCCUUCUGGGUUCAACCGAUUCUCCUGCCUCAGCUUCCCAAGUAGCUGGGACUACAGAUUGUUUAAAAUGCAGGUUGGCACUGUGGCUCAUGCCUGUAAUCACAGCAUUUUGGGAGGCUCAGCCGGGCGGAUCACUUAAGUCAGGAGUUCAAGACCAGCCUGGCCAACGUGGUGAAAAUCCUGUCUCUACUAAAAAUACAAAAAUUAGGCGUGGUGGCAGGCGCCUUUAAUUCCAGCUACUCAGGAGGCUGAGGCAGGAGAAUCGCUUGAACCUGGAGGGGGAGGUUGCAGCGCCAAUGUACUCCAGCCUGGGUGACAGAGCAAGACUUCAUCUCAAAAAAAAAGCCAUUUAUCUGAGACUGAAAAUAAAAACAUCAGGCAUAAGCCACCUUGCCUAGCCAUUCUUUUUUUGGGGGCCUCUCCCAAGCUCAUUUCAGAGGGCCAAACCAGAAUCCAUUGGUCAGAAGAAAGCAGUAGAAAGAGCUGGUAGACAGAGGCUGCUGCAGAUACUCUCCAGCAAGUAAAGCGGACACCCCGAGUGGGAAGAGUCUGUGAAGGAACUCAACUGAGCAGCAGAGUUGGGGCCCAGGUGCACUGAGGGGGUUCCACGACCCACAUGUUUGCUAGUUGUGAUUUCUUUUUUUUGUUUUGUUUUUUGAGACGGAGUUUCACUCUUGUUGCCCAGGCUGGAGUGCAAUGGCGUGAUCUCGGCUCACCGCAGCCUCCGCCUCCUGGGUUCAGGCAAUUCUCCUGCCUCAGCCUCCUGAGUAGCUGGGAUUACAGGCACGCACCACUAUGCCUGGCUAAUUUUUUGUAUUUUUAGUAGAGACGGGGUUUCACGAUGUUAACCAGGAUGGUCUCGAUCUCUUGACCUCGUGAUCCACCCGCCUCGGCCUCCCAAAGUCCUGGGAUUAUAGGCGUGAGCCACCACUAGUUGUGAUUUCUUGACUUCCAGACACCUUAAUAAAAAUGGCUGCAUUCUGGUCAGUGUCAGAUGGUAACUAAAGUUUUGUAGGUUUGAGACAGGGUCUUGCUCUGCCGCCCAGGCUGGCAUGUAGGGGUGCUGUCUCAGCUCACCGCCUCCCAGGUUCAAGCAAUUCUCCUGCCUCAGCUUCCCAAGUAGGCUCAUGCCACCAUGCCCGGGUAAUUUUUGUAUUUUUAUUGGAGUCGGGGUAUUUUGUAUUUUUAUUUUGCCAUGUUGGCCAGCCUGGUCUCGCACUCCUGAUCUCAGGAGAUCAGCUUGCCUUGGCUUCCCAAACUGCUGGGAUUACAGGCGUGAGCCCUGCCGCCUCCCCCAGUCCCCUGGUCCCCCAGUCCUCCGGGUCUUAGUGUUUCUAAGUAGCUCCCAUGUGGUACUUCGUUAAACACCUUUCAUUUAGGCUGAGUGCUUUGAGGGUAGGAGGCUUACAUAUCUGUUUCUUGCUGCUUGACACAAGUAAGUGCUUAGUAAAUCACUAAGCAAAAGGAUUAUGAAUGGAAAGGACAUAGGCAAUAGUUUUAGCAGAAACUCAAACCCUUCACUAUUUGAAUUCUCUGCUGGGAAUCAUUUGAUGGGGAAAAAUGGGUUCUGGAGCAGAUUUAAUCGCUGGAACCUGAAGAUCCCUCGUCGCUACUAAAAAAUACAAAAAUUAGCGUGGUGGCUCACACCUGUAAUCACAGCUAUUCAGGCUGAGGCAGGAGAAUUGCUUGAGCCUGGAAGUGGAGGCUGCAGUGAGCCAAGUCACUGAGCUGUGUCAUCCGACGAGUGACUUGACCCCGUUGGGCCUCAUUUUCCCCUGAAAAACAAGGCUAAGAAGACUCACAAAGGUAUUGUGUGUGAAAAGCUCACCACUGGGCUGUGCUUCUAGCAGGUACUCAGGCUUGGCUGUCAAUACUCAAAAAACGCCUUCAGGCUGGGCACGUUGGCUCACACCUGUAAUCCCAGCACUUUGGGAGGCCAAGGCAGACAGAUCACUUGAGCCCAGGAGUUCCAGAGCAGCCUGGGCAAUAGAGACGCCCAUCACUGAAAUUGUGUUUUUAAUUAGCUGGGUGUGGUCGUGCGUACCCGUCUCAGGGCUUGGGAGGCUUUAGUUUAGGAGCUUCAUGAUGUGGUAAGCUGUGGUUGUGUCCCUGCAGUGCAGCUCGGGUAGUAAAGUGAGACCGUGCUUCUUAAGCCAAAAACAAGACAGGCCAGGAGGGUAGAACGCUUGAGGCUAAAAGUUUAAGACCAGCCUGGGCAACAUAGUGAAACUCCAUCUUUACAAAAAAUACAAACAUUAGCCAGGUGUGGUGGCAAGUGCCUGUAGUCCCAGCUAUUUGGGAGGCUGAGGCAGGAGGAUCCAUUGAGCCUCAAAGGCUGUGGCUGCUGAGAGCCUGGAUUGCACCUCUGUGCUCAGGCCUGGGUGAUAGAAUGAGACCCUGUCUCAAAAAACAUGAAACAAACAUACAAAAAAUUUUUCUUCCUGAGCACAGCUGCCACAGCAUUCCUGGACUUCCCACGUUACUCUGUUCUGUGAAGUCCUGUCAUCAAUUUAGCUGUGACCCUCUUUUCACUGUAGGAAAUUCACAAAUCAUACAUCCUUAUUUUUGGUUCAGAAGAGAAAACAAAGGCUGCAAUAAAUCCAGAUGUGAGAGCCAAGUUGGCUUGCUGUUUCUCCGUCCAUGUUUUGUUGCUGGGCACACUCAAGACAAGGUCACUCCAAGAAAGAUCCUUGCUGAUAAAUUGGGACCAAUUUUGAUUCCCUCGAGACCAUCAUUUAUUUUUGGUAAACGCCAUUAAUGAAUAUACACAUCAUGCCUGCAGAACUGUCUAUAGCAGUUAAGUCUUGAAAACAGGUGACAAUUGAAAAAAAAAUUAUAAUAUUUUCAGGUCCUUUAAUAAUGUUCUAUGUCCUUUAGGCUGUUAGACCUUAAGGUGUUGGGGUCUGGCAAUGUUGCAGCUAUAGCAAAGGGCCUGUUGGGUGAUGGACAGAUACACAGCAAAAUUCAGAAACUGCCUCACUUGAACGGAGGUGGCUUGUCCCCUUUGUGAUGGGGGCUGGAUUGUUCCUAGAAUGAAUGCCUUAAAGUAAGGUGCUUAAAAAUUCUGUAGUGUGUCUCACCAUAGUGAACAAACAUGAUUCGGAAAUGCCGUGGGAGGCACCAACACCUCCUUUUUUAAAAUGAAGGAGUUGGGUUAGAGUCAGUGUUGCCGGCCAGAACAUACCCUGGAUGGGUAAAGGAAAUUCUCUACCACAGAGCCCAGCAGUGAGGGUGAGGGAGGGCUGAUGAAAGUGUGGGAGUGGGGCGUCAGGCAAGGGCACUGUCUGGCUGUGAAAAAAAACAGCCUUCAAGAGGCCAAUGUUGGGCCGGGCGCGGUGGCUCACGCCUGUAAUCCCAGCACUUUGGGAGGCCGAGGCGGGUGGAUCGCAAGGUCAAGAGAUCGAGACCAUCCUGGUCAACAUGGUGGAACUCCAUCUUUACUAAACAUACAAAAAAUUAGCUGGGCAUGGUGGCGUGUGCCUGUAAUCCCAGCUACUCGGGAGGCUGAGGCAGGAGAAGUGCCUGAACCCAGGAGGCGGAGGUUGUGGUGAGCCGAGAACGCGUCAUUGCGCUCCAGUCUGGGUGACAAGAGCAAAACUCCGGCUCAAAAAAAAAAGCCCAAUAUCAGGCCAAGGUGGGCAAAUCAUUUGAGGCCAGGAGUUUGAGACCAGCCUGGCCAACAUGGUGAAACCCUGUCUCUACUAAAAAUACAAAAAUUAGCCAGGCGUGGUUAUGCAUGCCUAUAGUGCAGGUACUCAGGAGGUUGAGUCAUGAGAAUAAUUUGAACCUGGGGGAUGGAGGUUGUAGUGAGCUGACAUUGCGCCACUGAACUCAAGCCUGGGGAAGAGAGUAAGACUCCAUUUGGGGCGGUGGGGGGGAGGGGGGGAGGGGCAGGAGGAAAGGAAAAAAAAAGAGGCCAAUGCCAGCUGUUGACCUCCAGGUCUCAGAACUAUGCCUUGUCUUUUGAUCUGCUGAUUUGGUGUAAUGUGAUUGUCUCAUUCAUUCCAGUGUAUGUACUUGCUGUAAAUGUAUAUACAGAAUUAAAUAGCCCAUUUAUUAAUUUAUAAACCAGAAUAAAACCAGACAGUCAUUUCCUCUCACCAGCAGGUCUUGCAUUGGAAAAGGAAAAUAAUACACAACAUCAGAGAUUUCAUUAAGCCUGAAUGGAGGUUGAAUUCAUUUUGGAGUUCAAGGAUACGUUCACAGAAUCAGGUGCUGUAAUCGUAUAGACAACUCCAUCACCGCAGUGCAAAAUCAUCCCUGUUUCUUGUCACUCACCAGUGAGAAAAAUCCAACUGCAGACUUGACUGCCUUCGGUGAAGGCACACAGCAAGUUCUUCUGAGAACACCCUUCAGGACGCAACGGUCUCAGCCUGGGACCAAAGUAUUUACAAAGCAAGCGAACAACAGAUGGAGGAACAGGGACACUUCUGAGCCCAGUGGUGCGGAAACCCACCGCCCAGCAGGGUCCAUGUCCCAUGUGUCAGCUGACACAACAUCUUAAAUACAGAAUUCCAAUCGAAAGAAAAACCAACAACAAAAAAAUGGAGUCAUGUGUAAGCGAUGUUACUUCCUGUUUGAACAGGGCAACAUCUUCCUCACGGGGAGAUAAAGGGUGAAUGAACCUCUCCUUUGCUGCUCUCUCCCUGCAAGUGCCAGCAAAAAGCUGGGUGUGGUGAUGAAGGAAAAAGGCAGCCAUCACCUAGGACCCCAUAAGCCAAGCCGUGGUCCCCUCCGUGAGGGUACAGUCCUUUCAUGAAGCCAUAAAAGACUGAGACCACAGCUCGGACCUGACUGCUCAGGGUUACCUACUGGGAUCUUAGAAUAUUUCUGCUGAAACCUAAACUGAUUUUUUUUUUUUUUUUUGAGACAGAAUUAGCUGGGCAGGUGGUGCUUGGCUAUUGCCAAGGCUGGAGAGCAGUGCCAUGAUCUCGGCUCACUAAAACCUCUACCUCCUGGGCUCAAUUGAUUGUCCUGCCUCAGCCUCCCAAGUAGGUGGGAUUACAGGCGUGCACCACCACACCUGGCUAAUUUUUGCAUCUUUUUAGUAGAGAUAGGACUUCACCACGUUGGCCAGGUUGGUCUCAAACUCUAGUGAUCGCCUGUCUCAGCCUCCCAAAGUGCUGAGAUGAUAGGCGUGAGCCACCGCGCCUGGCCCCAGACUGACUCUUGACCAAAGAAUCUGAUUUGGCAAACCAAAUCUUAGCGCGGUGUUUGCUCCUUCUCCCCUUAGCCAGAACAUGAUUGAGAUCCUAACAUAAACACAAAAACAGGUCAGAAUGCUGUGGUCUUGCCUAUUAUGCAAAGUAUUGAGAUAAUGUUCAUGAUUUACUCUGUUUUCAGCAAUUGUGUCAAUCUUAACACUUCAUUAUUUCCUACUAAGUCCCAAAAUGUGUCGCCCAGGCAUCACCAGUGGGAACUUUGUUUUGAAACCUUUAGAAACCGGUUUUCAAUCCAUAAGCCAGUCCUAAUGAUCCCGUAAUGGGGACCACGGCAAAAAAAAAAACCACACACAACUACAAAAUCUUCCCUAAAAAAAUGCAAGAUCCUCAGAAAACCAAGAUCUCCCUCCUAAACAACCUAUCAAGUCAUCAGAGAAGAGGUGAGGACUCCUCUGAAAAGACAAGUGCCACAGAAAUAGAGCUUGAAACACUGAACAUAAUUUCCUGAAGAGCCUUCUUGAUACCCUAAGAGAAGUGCCCUGCUCUGGCGAGGGAGGAAGAAGCAGAGAGAGCAGUUUCCUUUCCCUCUGGAUCUGGGUGGACGCCAACUGUGAUGGGCCGGGCAGAGCACCAGGCUGCAGGAAUUAGAUGCUAAUUGCAAUCGCUUUUUUCUUUGGAACAUUGCCAGGAACUUUUGAACCGUUAAGAGGAUGACCAGGAAACCGGAUCCAUCCCUGUGGCUGCGGAUGUUCUGAAUGAUUCUCGUGGGCUCCUUGUCUGUUCAGUGACCCUGUUGGUCCUGGGCAUAUCUGAGCCAGGGAAUUAAAGUGGACAGUCUGACAUUCUCAAGCACCGUCCUGGAUACUCCCACUGCCAGCUCAUGGUCUGCAGCCACAGUGAUCCUAGCUUUCUAGAGAGACUCCUGGGUGUUAUCUGGAAUAAUUCCACAUGGUAAGGUACAACGUGGCCAAGAUCUCCGCAGGGGUGUGGCCCUCAGACGACAGACUCCAGGAAGAAAGAGCACAGAUACCAGUCUCUGUUUACGUUUGCCCGGAGCCCACGGCUGCCUGCGCUGCAGGCAACGCCUCCUCCUGUGGCUCAUGGCAGGGCCGGGAACCCGAGAGCUUCUGAUGCAGAGUUAUGCACCGUCCCCUCGGCUGGCUUGUACAUUCACUGAUUGUCAGAAGUUUCUGAUACUGCUGUGGGGGCAGGGGAAGGAGUCACAGAACAGUCUGGUCCUGCCCUCUGGACUCUACACAUCAUAGCGGUUCAAACUGUAUGAGUUUGGGUAGCUCUGCCGGCUGUACUGGAAGUGGUCUGUGAGGAUGCUGCUGCGGCCGUACUGAUAGUCCCCGUGCUGGGGGAAGAGGAGGCCGUUGUGAGGCUUCUCCACUGGGCUCCGGUGGCGCUCCUUGCUGCUCAGGUCAGAUGUGGUGAUGGGGAGGAGGUGCUUCCUGGCUUGCUGGUUUGCAUCGUACUUGGUCUGUGCCAGAAAGAGAGAAAUGAGACAGGACAUGCCUGGGGCGUAAGGAAGAGCUCAAUUCAGAGUCAGUCAACCGGUGGCUGCAGUGGCUCACACCUGUAAUCCCAGCAAUUCGGGAGGCCGAGGUGGUAGGAUCACCUGAGCUCAGGAGUUUGAGACCACCAGCCUGGGCAACAUGGUGAAACCCUGUCUACUAAAAAUGCAAAAAAACUAACUGGGUGUAGCCGCAGACGCCUGUAAUCCCAGCUACUCAAGAAGCUGAGGCAGGAGGAUCGCUUGAACCCAGGAGGGGAGGUUGCAGUGUGCUUGGAUUACGCCACUGCACUGCAGCCUUGGAGACAGAGCAAGACACUGUCUCUCAAAACAGAAUUUAAAAAAGUCAAUUAAGCUUUGGGGCUGGUGUAAGUCACAGAACUUGAGCAAGGAAAGCAGAUGUAAAUGGAUCAGACCACAGAGCAUGGACAGACUCGAAGGCAAGUCCUUGGCUGGAUGCAGUGGCUCAUGCCUGUAAUCCCAGUGCUUUGGGAGGCCCAAGUGGGAGGAUCACUUGAGGCCAGCAGUUUGAGAUGAGACUGGGCAAAACAGAGAGACCUCCAUCUCUACAUGUGUUGAGAACAAAUAAAGAGGCUGGGUGUGAUGGCUCA